GGAGGCGGCCGCUCCCCGUCCCGCCGCGAGGGGGCGCUGGGCGGGCGAGCCGCCGCGGGAGGGGAUUUGCCUCAAGCGGUGGCGCAGGGACCGAUCCGCGAGAAGCCGCUACCGGCGGUGUGUAAAUAUCCGAGUUUGGGCCGAGAUCACCUCGGGGCCGUGGUGGCAGAGCGGGAAGGUUACACAGAGCUCUGGGGAGCGGUUCGGCCGAGCUCCGGGGCAGCAGAGGAAUGAUUUUCAAAAGGAAUCCAUGCAGUGAAUGUGAUGAACCACCAAUCUGCCUGAUGCUACUACCCCAGCUCUGUCCUUCAUCAGAUUAAGUUCUCUUCUUACUUCACUGAGCAGCAACAGAAAGUCCUGGCGCAGAACCUCAAGAAGAGAACUGAGAGGAGUCCAGAAUGUAUUAAGAUGCAAUGUAUCCAAAUAACUGUUCUGUCCCUUUUAUGUGUUCCUUCCUGCUAUGUUUUUAUCUCUUUUAUGUCCACUUUUGAUGCAUUUGAGCUGUGUUUUUCAGGGCUGUCUGACUUUAUUAUAAGCAGCAAAGGUGAUGGUUUCUUUAGGGGGGUUUGGGGGACAGGCAGUAAUGGGAAGCUGUAGGAUUCACUUUGGCUUUCCCAGAAAACUUUUAAGGUGGAAAAACUACAGUUUGAAAAUGGCUGCAUUAUCUCCCACUGCUGUUCUCAUGAAGACAAAUGCCAAAUGUUUCAUGGACUGCUUUUCUUUGUGAAAGGAUUUGUGUGGUUGGUUUUGGGGAUUUUUUUGUGUGAAUGGAGAUGGCAACCAUCAGUAAUAUAAUUUCACAAAAAGCAUAAAAUACCUGUUAAAUUCCAAGCUCCGAAAAUGAAACAUACCUACUGCCAAACACAGAUGGCAUUUGGCUUUUAUUUGCUCUGCCAUGCUACUUGCAUAUUUGAGGUAAGCCAGAUGCAAAUGGAAAUAGCAAAGCUCAAUGUGUUAACUGCCAAGCUU